rnacentral:rRNA from 1 species
UACGGAGGGUGCAAGCGUUACCCGGAAUCACUGGGCGUAAAGGGCGUGUAGGCGGGAUGUUAAGUCUGACUUUAAAGACUGUGGCUCAACCACGGGAGUGGGCUGGAUACUGGCAUUCUAGACAACUGGAGAGGCGAUUGGAAUUACUGGUGUAGCGGUGGAAUGCGUAGAUACCAGUAGGAACGUCAAUGGCGAAGGCAGGUCGCUGGACAGUUUGUGACGCUGAGGCGCGAAAGUGUGGGGAGCAAACCGG